rnacentral:rRNA from 1 species
UACGGGGGGGGCAAGCGUUGUUCGGAAUUACUGGGCGUAAAGGGCUUGUAGGUGGCCAACUAAGUCAGACGUGAAAUCCCUCGGCUUAACCGGGGAACUGCGUCUGAUACUGGAUGGCUUGAGUUUGGGAGAGGGAUGCGGAAUUCCAGGUGUAGCGGUGAAAUGCGUAGAUAUCUGGAGGAACACCGGUGGCGAAGGCGGCGACCUGGGUCGAGACUGACGCUGAGGCGCGAAAGCGUGGGGAGCAAACAGG